rnacentral:rRNA from 1 species
UGGGGAAUAUUGCACAAUGGGCGCAAGCCUGAUGCAGCCAUGCCGCGUGUGUGAAGAAGGCCUUCGGGUUGUAAAGCACUUUCAGCGAGGAGGAAGGCGGUGAGCUUAAUACGCUCAUCAAUUGACGUUACUCGCAGAAGAAGCACCGGCUAACUCCGUGCCAGCAGCCGCGGUAAUACGGAGGGUGCAAGCGUUAAUCGGAAUUACUGGGCGUAAAGCGCACGCAGGCGGUUCGUUAAGUCAGAUGUGAAAUCCCCGGGCUCAACCUGGGAACUGCAUUUGAAACUGGCAAGCUAGAGUCUCGUAGAGGGGGGUAGAAUUCCAGGUGUAGCGGUGAAAUGCGUAGAGAUCUGGAGGAAUACCGGUGGCGAAGGCGGCCCCCCUGGACGAAGACUGACGCUCAGGUGCGAAAGCGUGGGGAGCAAAACAGGAUUAGAUACCCCUGGUAGUCCACGCUGUAAAACGAUGUCGAUUUUGGAGGUUGUGCCCUUGAGGCGUGGNUUCCGGAGCUAACGCGUUAAAUCGACCGCC